rnacentral:rRNA from 1 species
GAAAUCUAGGAGCUUAACUCCUAAAUUGCCAUUGAUACUGGCGGGCUUGAGUGUAGAUGAGGUAGGCGGAAUGCGUGGUGUAGCGGUGGAAUGCAUAGAUAUCACGCAGAACUCCGAUUGCGAAGGCAGCUUACUAAGGUACAACUGACGCUGAAGCACGAAAGCGUGGGUAUCAAACAGGAUUAGAUACCCUGGUAGUCCACGCAGUAAACGAUGAUAAAUAGGGCGUAUGUGAUAUACAGUAUGGCUCCUAAGCGAAAGCGUUGAGUUAUCCACCUGGGGAGUACGCCGGCAACGGUGAAACUCAAAGGAAUUGACGGGGGCCCGCACAAGCGGAGGAACAUGUGGUUUAAUUCGAUGAUACGCGAGGAACCUUACCCGGGAUUGAAAUGUAGAUGACCGCUCCUGAAAGGGAGUUUUCCUUCGGGACAUCUAUGUAGGUGCUGCAUGGUUGUCGUCAGCUCGUGCCGUGAGGUGUCGGCUUAAGUGCCAUAACGAGCGCAACCCCUGUCUACGGUUGCCAUCAGGUAAUGCUGGGAACUCCGUAGAGACUGCCGUCGUAAGGCGUGAGGAAGGUGGGGAUGACGUCAAAUCAGCACGGCCCUUACAUCCGGGGCGACACACGUGUUACAAUGGUAAGGACAAAGGGCAGCUACCUGGCGACAGGAUGCGAAUCUCUAAACCUUAUCACAGUUCGGAUCGGAGUCUGCAACUCGACUCCGUGAAGCUGGAUUCGCUAGUAAUCGCGCAUCAGCCAUGGCGCGGUGAAUACGUUCCCGGGCCUUGCACUCACCGCCCGUCAAG